rnacentral:rRNA from 1 species
GACGAACCGUGCAAACGUUGUUCGGAAUCACUGGGCUUAAAGGGCGCGUAGGCGGGCUCGCCAGUCAGGGGUGAAAGCCCACGGCUUAACCGUGGAAGUGCCUCUGAUACUGCGAGCCUCGAGGGAGGUAGGGGCGUGCGGAACUUCCGGUGGAGCGGUGAAAUGCGUAGAUAUCAGGAGGAACACCGGUGGCGAAGGCGGAUCUCUGGGCCGAUACUGACGCUGAGGAGCGAAAGCGUGGGGAGCGAACAGG